CCCUUAGACGUUCUGGGCCGCACGCGCGCUACACUGACCAGUGCAACAAGCAUCCGUCCUUGGCCGACAGGCUCGGGCAAUCUUUGAACGCUGGUCGUGAUGGGGAUAGACUUUUGCAAUUUUUGGUCUUCAACGAGGAAUUCCUAGUAAACGCAAGUCAUCAACUUGCAUUGAUUACGUCCCUGCCCUUUGUACACACCGCCCGUCGCACCUACCGAUUGAAUGGUCCGGUGAAGCCUCCGGAUUGGCGCGCACCUCGGUGCCGCCGAGAAGUUGGCUAAACCUUAUCAUUUAGAGGAAGGAGAAGUCGUAACA
rnacentral:rRNA from 1 species